UACGUAGGGUGCGAGCGUUAAUCGGAAUUACUGGGCGUAAAGCGUGCGCAGGCUGUUUUGUAAGUCCGCUGUGAAAUCCCCGAGCUCAACUUGGGAAUUGCAGUGGAUACUGGCAAGCUGGAGUAUGGUAGAGGAAGGUGGAAUUCCCGGUGUAGCAGUGAAAUGCGUAGAGAUCGGGAGGAACACCAGUGGCGAAGGCGGCCUUCUGGACCAAUACUGACGCUCAUGCACGAAAGCGUGGGGAGCAAACAGG
rnacentral:rRNA from 1 species